rnacentral:rRNA from 1 species
CCUGGUUGAUUCUGCCCCUUUCAUAUGCUUGUCUCAAAGAUUAAGCCAUGCAUGUCUAAGUAUAAACACGUUAUACUGUGAAACUGCGAAUGGCUCAUUAAAUCAGUUAUAGUUUAUUUGAUGGUUUUUGCUACAUGGAUAACUGUGGUAAUUCUAGAGCUAAUACAUGCGUACAAGCCCCGACUUCUGGAAGGGGUGUAUUUAUUAGAUAAAAAUCAACACUGUUGGUGAAUCAUGAUAACUUCUCGGAUCGCAUGGCCUCGUGCUGGCGAUACUUCAUUCAAAUAUCUGCCCUAUCAACUGUCGAUGGUAGGAUAGAGGCCUACCAUGGUUGCAACGGGUAACGGGGAAUAAGGGUUCGAUUCCGGAGAGGGAGCCUGAGAAACGGCUACCACAUCCAAGGAAGGCAGCAGGCGCGCAAAUUACCCAAUCCCGACACGGGGAGGUAGUGACAAUAUGUAACAAUAUACGGCUUUAUCGUCGUAUAAUUGGAAUGAGUACAAUUUAAAUCCCUUAACGAGGAACAAUUGGAGGGCAAGUCUGGUGCCAGCAGCCGCGGUAAUUCCAGCUCCAAUAGCGUAUAUUAAAGUUGUUGCAGUUAAAAAGCUCGUAGUUGGACCUUGGGCCUGGACGGGCGGUCCGCCUCACGGCGUGUACUGUCUUGCCGGGCCUUUCCUCUUGGUGAUCUGUUGUUUCGGCAGCAGGGAACCAGGACCUUUACUUUGAAAAAAUUAGAGUGUUCAAAGCAGGCUCGACGCCGGAAUAUAUUAGCAUGGAAUAAUAAAAUAGGACGUGCGGUUCUAUUUUGUUGGUUUUUGGAAUCGCCCGUAUGAUUAAUAGGGACAGUCGGGGGCAUU